UACGUAACAAGAAGAAAGAAAAAGAAAAUCCACCUGCUCCAUUCAUCUCCUCAAACUUGGUCAAUUACAAACACAAAAUGGAAGGAAAAAAAGGGUACAAUUUAUUUGCUUUAUAUAUUCUUGUAAUAAUUUCUGUGGUUCAAUAAGAGAGGAAGGGAUGAUGAACAACUGCUUCCCUUCUGAAAAUGAGACCAUAUAUACUUCAUACAAACAACCAAGUAAAGCUGUAACUUGUAAUUUUAUCUUUCUUUUCAAAAUAUCAACUUUAAUCUACACACUUUAGGAUAAGGAUCCUACAAAGCACUAACUGUAGCAUUCCACUACACCUUUUUCUGUCUAAUCCUUUACUACCUAACUACUAUACUGAAGAUUUCUGGUCUCUACUCUCAACAAUAUUUCAUCUUUUUCAAGGGUCCUCAACCACCUUUGGAGAACAAUAUGCAAUAGCCUCUGCAACGGUGAGGAAGAUCUUGUCCUCUCCUAUUGCGUUUACAAAAUUGGAUGCGUAAAGCUUCUCUGUCACUACUGGACCAGGAUUUGCCAGAACAAGCUUGCAUAAAAGGAAGAACUCACGGUAAGAUGCUAUGCUAGUUACAUAAUAUAUCAUUUUCUAAUCACUCAUGCAUACAUAUUUAUGAGCAUAUUAUUCUUGGCCAGAAGUUAAUUAGUUACCUCAACUCCUCUCUUUUCAAGACUUCUAUGUAACUCUUGGAAGGCUUGGAUGCCACUUGUAUCAAUAUCAGUAACGGCUGCAUCAUGAACACCAAACUCAAUAAAUAAUAAAAAAUUAACAAGACGAAAAUGAAGGUUUUACUCCGGGAAUUUGUAAGGGGUAUAACGAAUUUAGGAUUAAAAUAAAGACUCUCACGUGACAUUUCAACUAUCAAAAACUGGAUUUUUGUGGGGUAGUCUCCUUUCACUUUUUCUUCUUCAUCCGUCAGCCAUCUUAAUGUCCUGCAAAAGAGUAAUUAUUAGGCGACCUCAAUAUGCUAGAUUGAAGCACAGUUUCACAAAAUUACGUUAUAAUUCUCUUUUAAAUCAACCCUCACUCUUUUCCACCGGAUUUAUACCUCAUUGUAAUCACUCAAAUUUUGUGGCACCUUGAAAAGAUUAAGGGUUUUUUGUACAAUGACAAACUCUAUUCCUCUUUCUUUAUCAGUGUAAGAUAUAUUGGAUAGAGACUGGGUAUUUUUUUUCAUUAGUAACAAUGUUAGUAUUUUUACAUCGACAUCUAAAUUUUGUAGCAUGGUGCGUAUGGUGUUCCCUAUGUUUUGAAUCACAUAUCUGUUCUUAAUCCUUAGGCAUUUAGAUUACUGCCAAAAAGCUUUUUCAAUUAAGUUAGUGUUCAGAUUGGAUUGUUUCACUUCAGCUCAUUCAAAAGAGUAAAGUAUAAAACAAUUUCUCGUUGUAAACGAAUAAACAAAGGAGGAACAAGCCUUUACCUUUCUUUGACAUAAUUGGAGUUGGAAAAAUAUACCGCAGAAUCAACUCUCACAAUCAGUACACCUGGAACCUUACUAGCUUCUGGAUAUUGUUGGAUGUUUCUAUAGACAUUAGUCCUAGGAAUCUUCCCCAGAAUUGCGGUUCGGGGUCUUGUUACUUGUAGUAGGAUCUUUGCAAAGGAUAUACAGACCUGCCAUAGAAUGUAGCAAUUAACAUACGAAAUAAACAAGAUUAGUCAGAAAUUACUUUGACCUUUUAGAGCAAGAUAAGCAUUGAUUAUAGCACUUACAGCAAUUAGAAGUCCUAUCUCAACCGAGACAAAAACAACGCCAAAGAAUGCACCCAUGCAAGCGACAAAGUCAAAUUUAUCUAUCUUCCAAAUCAAAAUUGCUGCCUCAUAGUCUAUAAGGUUGACGACAGCAGAAAUGAUGAUGGCAGAAAGAAUGGCAUUUGGAGUGUACUUAAAAAGUGGAGUGAUGAAUUCCAGGGUUAAGAACACAACUACUGACAUCACAAUGUUAGAGACUGCAGUUUGGCAGCCAGCCAUGAAAUUUACUGCUGACCGAGAGAAAGAACCUGAAGGUAACAAAAGUAUAGAUCAGGGGAUAAAAAACUACAUAAAUCACUAGACUACAAGAUAAACGUAGUCUCAAAUUCUCUUUAUGUACAGGUAGACAUUAAACUCUAUAGGAAUAGAUCCAACUUUAUCUCCUAGUAUUUUGUUUUUUCCAUUUUUGUUUGGUAUUUUAAAGCUAAAAGAAGAUAUUUAUGAAACAUGACCACCUUUACAUAUUUCUUAGACAUGCAAUUUUUAUGACAAUAGUAGAUAGAUACAUAAACCUUGUCUACGAGCUUACCAGUUGCCACAUAACAGGAAGUCAUUGAACCAACAAUAUUCAUUGUUCCUAGUGCAACCAUUUCUUUGUUUCCAUCCAGUUGAUAGUCCUUCAUAGAUGCAAAUGUUCUUCCAAUUGCCGAGGCUUCCUGGCCAUCGAAAUGUAAUGGUUUAAUUAGAACUACAUGAAUAAAAUGGACAACUCUUUAAGAGAGGUAUUGGUGUCAAAGUUACUCACAGUCAAUGCUAUCAUGCCUGCCACGAUGCCAACUUUAAAACCUUUUCCAAGGUUUUCUCCUGUUAAAUAAAGAUCUUUAACAGAUGAUGGAUUGAUUCCUCUUUCUAUUUUUCUCACCUUCACAUAUCAAUGACAAAAACUUCAAUUAUGAUGUAACUAAUAUUAUGACACUUUCGCCAUCAGUUGUUCCUAAAAUACGUUAUCAGUCUUUUGAUGAGAAUGAACAUAUACUUACAAUUUCUACUCCUUUCUUAUCUGCACGGGUUAUGAAUACAAAAAAAGUGGACAAAAUAACGGAUAUCAAUGGAGCAAUUGCUGGCAGCCAGAAUAAUCUCCUGUUUUUCUUUCCCUGACGCACAUAAUAUGAAUGAAUGAGAAAACAAUUUACAAACUCCUAACGAUUAGUUAGUGAAUAAUAGCAAAGUGCAUAAAGGGGAGGUAUAAUGCCUUACAAUGUAUUUGGUGACCAGAAGAAAACCCAAAAAACUAGCUCCAAUGACUAUAGUUUCCCAGUUCCACUGCAAGAUAAAGUGUUAUAAAUUAUUGGUCAAUUUUGUGUUCAACACACAGAUAACAGUAACACUAACAGUUGGCUAUCUAAAUUUAGGCACGGACUUGUUCAGAUUAGGAUUCCUGGUAAUUAAUAAUUUGCAUGUAUAUUGAGAGAGAGAGAAGGAGAGUAUACUCCAUGAUGGGCUGUAUGGAAUACUGAAUGCAGCACAGAGACAAUAUCAGUUUUCGUUGUGAACAUUUUAGUUUUAAUGCCAAGGAAACCUUUGAGCUGUUGAAGGGAAAUUGUGAUAGCAGCACCCCCCAUAAAACCGACAAUAGCAGCAUGGGAUAGGAAGUCUAUCAAGAAUCCUAACCUGGUUAAAUAAAUAAAUAAAUAAAUAAGGCAACUAUGGUGUGAUAUUAAACAGUGUAACAUUAGUUGUAACUGGUAGCGGUUGCACAAGACAUAAACUUCAGUGAUUGAAAUGUCCAAAUGCAAAAUCCAUAUAUUGGGCGGUAGUGUUGUCAUACCUAAGAACACCAAGCGUUGCUUGAGUAAUCCCAGCAAAAAAAGUGGCUGUAAAAGCAAGUCGCUGAUAUUCUUCCGCAUUUUUAAUAGGAUCAAACUCAUUACUAAGUAGGGUCCCCAACAAGAGAGAAACCACUGCUACAGGUCCUAUAGCAAUAUCACGAGAGCUACCCAUGACAGCAUAGAUCAAUGGUGGAACAAAACUUGAGUCUGUAAACGGGUAGAAAGAACAAAAUACAAAAGGAUCAGUCUAACGUGCAAAGAAAAAAAUGAGCUGCUGGUGAGAGGCAAGUACAGUCUUACACAGUCCAUACUGUGGAGACAAAUGUGCAAGCUUGGCGUAUCCAAUAUCCUGUUUUUCAGCCAAACAUUAGAAGUUAGAACCGUGUAAAAUGGGGCAUGCAACAGGAAUUAUUCUCAUAGCCUUCAAAACUUGAAAUCCACAGUAAAGCAAAUUUAAAUACCUGAGGAAUGCAAAGACUUGCAAUAGUGAGACCAGAUAUUAAAUCCCCUCUAAAUUUUUUAAGGUUGUAACUUCUUCCCCACUUAAGUAUUGGAAAUAUGGCCUCAAUACCGAGGAUGAACUUCCUUGAUAUAGAUUGAUCUUUGAAGGGUCUUAGAGGAUCAUCAGCAAAGAAUGUUUCUUUAAUGGUGGCUUGGAAUUCCUUGAAGAGGUUCUGUCUUGGAGGAACUGCCACUUUGUAGACUUGUGGUACCUGACCAUGUGAAGAAGACGACAUACUUCUCAGAUCGAUCUCUUUGGUUUCAAGAUUCUGAUCAGAAGGACGGCCCAUUGAAGUCAUCAACCGGGACCUUCAGUCUGUAAUACAGGGAAAAGUCGUAACCAGAAAAAACUGGGAAAAAUAAGGACAUCAAGGAGUGUGAUUGAUUAGCAAUCACAAAAUAUGGUUUAUACUGCAUGCAAUAAUGAAGUUUACCAUGUUGCUUAAAGCUAUAAUAUAUAGUCCAAUAAUGAAGAUAAUCAGGCACCUACUAUGGAAUUUUAGAUGUUGAUUUGUGACUGAUAGAUUUUGAAAUGCUUACUAACCUGAAUAGAAGAGGAGGGGAUACGUGAUAAAAGAUUUGAAUGGUCACUGGUUCAAACUGUAAUGUCUACUUAAACAGGUAAGGUGUGGAUUAUAACCUCAAAGACUUUAUCUUUCAGGUCAAUGUUAUCAAGCUGGGAUUGGAAAACAAGACUAUAUAUGUGUGAACCGGAUCGAAUGAAUACAAGUCAAAAUCAUACAUUACAAUGCUUAACAUUCAAUCCUGACCAAACUACCCUGGAAUUCCCAAGUCAGACAUUCUUCUUCUAGCAAGUAUCUAUCGUAACUUCAGAAGAACGACGGAGAAUACAAUAAGUAUUGUACGUUUUGGGAACCUUAGUACAGCUAGAAGUUAAUAAAAUCAAAUUACAACAUGCAAUUUCUAUGUGCUUUUAGUAAAAUGCAAGAAGUCAAUAAAGUUCAAAUAAAGAAAAAGACAAAGAAAUUAAACAUGUCAAUGGCAACCAUCCAUUGGAAGUACUAAUUCUUGGGAGAGGAAUUGUUAGCCGAUUUAUUGUCAAAUCUCAAGACUAAUUUGAUCAAAAGAAAGAUUUCGCAGAUUUUAUGAUGACUAUCAACAUCUCUAAUGUAAGCUAAAGAUAAUCAGAGAAUAGAGUUCAUAUUAAGGAAGAGCGAUGGCAAAAUUUGUAUCCAGUAGUAAAUGGUCUUUGUUUGAACCUCUUCAUAAGCCCGAGCACGAGUGAACUCACGCACAAGUCCCUCUCACUUACGAACCAUAGGUACAAAAUUCUCAAUUAUCAUCCUUUUUAAUUCCAGAACAAUUAAAAACACGUAACUCUCAGACAAGAUUAGAAAGGAAUCAAAUUCUUAAACCUCAAUAGAAUUUAAAAAACCAUUAAGUCACUCCAAAGGGAAAUAAACAAUAUUCAACAAGUCCAAAGUCCAAAUCGUGUUUUGACUGAACAACAGAGCACAAUAAUUGAAUCUCAAUAAAUCGCUUCCUAAUGUGAAAACAAAUAUAUAAUUAUCACACCCUUGAUCCAUAAUUUACAUCCAUAAUAUGCAUUCUACAAACACUAAUAUCUAAUACCAUUUACCUGAUUUCACUUUAUGUGGCUGCAGGGUAAAACAGUAAAGAACAUGACAGCAUAAUUCAUUCAGAACCAGACAACCAAAAUGUGGACUUUUUCCAACUCUCAGCCCUUUGUGAUUUACGAACCACCAAGUGCUUAUUCCAAAAUCGUUUGGAGAAUAAAGUCCAAAAUAGACUCCCAACAAACACAACCUUCUUAGGCUUCUCAUGCAAGCCAUUGCCAGUGGAGGAUUCCAAUUACACUAACACCAAAAGUAUUCUUUUUUGUUCACAGACUCACUUUAACCCUUCCCGUGUCAGAAUUCAUGUAAAAGCACAAAAGAAAAAAUUACAAAGACAGAAUGACCCACAACACACGGAAGUGAAAAUAAAAAACACUAACUAUCAAACAGACAAAUUUUUACAUGCUAGACAUG
rnacentral:lncRNA from 1 species